rnacentral:rRNA from 1 species
GGAAUGGGCGGCAUGCUUAACAUGCAGUCGAACGGCAGCACGGAGCUUGCUCUGGUGGCGAGUGGCGAACGGGUGAGUAAUAUAUCGGAACGUACCCUAGAGUGGGGGAUAACGUAGCGAAAGUUACGCUAAUACCGCAUACGAUCUAAGGAUGAAAGUGGGGGAUCGCAAGACCUCAUGCUCGUGGAGCGGCCGAUAUCUGAUUAGCUAGUUGGUAGGGUAAAAGCCUACCAAGGCAUCGAUCAGUAGCUGGUCUGAGAGGACGACCAGCCACACUGGAACUGAGACACGGUCCAGACUCCUACGGGAGGCAGCAGUGGGGAAUUUUGGACAAUGGGCGAAAGCCUGAUCCAGCAAUGCCGCGUGAGUGAAGAAGGCCUUCGGGUUGUAAAGCUCUUUUGUCAGGGAAGAAACGGUGAGAGCUAAUAUCUCUUGCUAAUGACGGUACCUGAAGAAUAAGCACCGGCUAACUACGUGCCAGCAGCCGCGGUAAUACGUAGGGUGCAAGCGUUAAUCGGAAUUACUGGGCGUAAAGCGUGCGCAGGCGGUUUUGUAAGUCUGAUGUGAAAUCCCCGGGCUCAACCUGGGAAUUGCAUUGGAGACUGCAAGGCUAGAAUCUGGCAGAGGGGGGUAGAAUUCCACGUGUAGCAGUGAAAUGCGUAGAUAUGUGGAGGAACACCGAUGGCGAAGGCAGCCCCCUGGGUCAAGAUUGACGCUCAUGCACGAAAGCGUGGGGAGCAAACAGGAUUAGAUACCCUGGUAGUCCACGCCCUAAACGAUGUCUACUAGUUGUCGGGUCUUAAUUGACUUGGUAACGCAGCUAACGCGUGAAGUAGACCGCCUGGGGAGUACGGUCGCAAGAUUAAAACUCAAAGGAAUUGACGGGGACCCGCACAAGCGGUGGAUGAUGUGGAUUAAUUCGAUGCAACGCGAAAAACCUUACCUACCCUUGACAUGGCUGGAAUCCUUGAGAGAUCAGGAGUGCUCGAAAGAGAACCAGUACACAGGUGCUGCAUGGCUGUCGUCAGCUCGUGUCGUGAGAUGUUGGGUUAAGUCUCGCAACGAGCGCAACCCUUGUCAUUAGUUGCUACGAAAGGGCACCUUCUAAUGAAGACUGCCGUUG